GAUGAACGCUGGCGGCGUGCUUAACACAUGCAAGUCGAACGAUGAAGCCCAGCUUGCUGGGUGGAUUAGUGGCGAACGGGUGAGUAACACGUGAGUAACCUGCCCUUAACUCUGGGAUAAGCCUGGGAAACUGGGUCUAAUACCGGAUAGGAGCGUCCACCGCAUGGUGGGUGUUGGAAAGAUUUAUCGGUUUUGGAUGGACUCGCGGCCUAUCAGCUUGUUGGUGAGGUAAUGGCUCACCAAGGCGACGACGGGUAGCCGGCCUGAGAGGGUGACCGGCCACACUGGGACUGAGACACGGCCCAGACGCCUACGGGAGGCAGCAGUGGGGAAUAUUGCACAAUGGGCGCAAGCCUGAUGCAGCGACGCCGCGUGAGGGAGGACGGCCUUCGGGUUGUAAACCUCUUUCAGUAGGGAAGAAGCGAAAGUGACGGUACCUGCAGAAGAAGCACCGGCUAACUACGU
rnacentral:rRNA from 1 species